rnacentral:rRNA from 1 species
CCUACGGGUGGCAGCAGUGAGGAAUAUUGGUCAAUGGCCGGAAGGCUGAACCAGCCAUGCCGCGUGAAGGUCAGUGCCCUAUGGGCGUUAAACUUCUUUUGUGCGGGAGCAAUAAUGGUCACGUGUGGCCAGACGAGAGUACCGUACGAAUAAGCAUCGGCUAACUCCGUGCCAGCAGCCGCGGGAAUACGGGGGAUGCAAGCGUUAUCCGGAUUUAUUGGGGUUAAAGGGUGCGUAGGCUGUGAGGUAAGUCAGCGGUGAAAUGCCCCCGCUCAAAGGGGUGAAGUGCCAUGGAUACUGCCUUGCUGGAAUGCGGAUGCCGUGGGAGGAAUGUGUGGUGUAGCGGUGAAAUGCAUAGAUAUCACACAGAACCCCGAUUGCGAAGGCAUCUCACGAAUCCGCGAUUGACGCUGAUGCACGAAAGCGUGGGUAUCAAACAGGAUUAGAUACCCGAGUAGUC